rnacentral:rRNA from 1 species
ACAGCAGUCGCCGCGGGAAUACGGAGGGUGCAAGCGUUAAUCGGAAUUACUGGGCGUAAAGCGCACGCAGGCGGUCUGUCAAGUCAGAUGUGAAAUCCCCGGGCUUAACCUGGGAACUGCAUUUGAAACUGGCAGGCUAGAGUCUUGUAGAGGGGGGCAGAAUUCCAGGUGUAGCGGUGAAAUGCGUAGAGAUCUGGAGGAAUACCGGUGGCGAAGGCGGCCCCCUGGACAAAGACUGACGCUCAGGUGCGAAAGCGUGGGGAGCAAACAGGAUUAGAGACCCGUGUAGUCCCUGUCUCUUAUAC